rnacentral:rRNA from 1 species
AGGUUAGCUAAUACCGCAUACGUCUAGUACCGCAUGGUGCAAAGAUAAAAGGAGCAAUCCACUCGAGGACGGGACCGCGUCCCAUUAGCUAGUUGGUGGGGUAAUGGCCUACCAAGGCUCCGAUGGGUAGCUGGUUUGAGAGAGCGACCAGCCACACUGGGACUGAGAAACGGCCCAGACUCCUACGGGAGGCAGCAGUGAGGAAUUUUCCGCAAUGGGCGAAAGCCUGACGGAGCGACGCCGCGUGUGGGAAGAAGGCCUUCGGGUCGUAAACCACUGUCGAAGGGGAAGAUAUUGACGGUACCCUUGGAGGAAGCCCCGGCUAACUACGUGCCAGCAGCCGCGGUAAGACGUAGGGGGCAAGCGUUAUUCGGAAUUAUUGGGCGUAAAGCGCUCGUAGGCGGGACAGGAAGUCCGUGAAGAAAGACCUGGGCUCAACUCAGGGAACGGCACGGAUACUCUUG